rnacentral:lncRNA from 1 species
AGCCCCAAAAGUUACCUUUGUCACAUCUACUGUACUCUAUUGGUUAUGCGUGUUCUGUUGGAGGAAGGAGACUAUGGAAAGGCAUGAAUAUCAAAAGGCCAUGAUCAUUGGAGCCAUCUUGGAGGCUGGCUAUCACAACACUCACCUCACUGCUAUCAGAGUGAUCCCUUAAACAUGAACUUGUCUAAUUAAAGUGGAAAUGGUGAAGAUACACUGUGGGUAGAGGAAUUGAGAAGAAUGGUGGUGAAGGUCUGAAAGAGAAUGGAAGAUAAAGCAGCAAUUUACUAUGGGCAAGCAAACAGAUACGUCGAAUGACAUUGAGGGUUUCACUGAAGACCAGUGGACUCAAACUUACCCAAUAUGGCCACUAUUCUCUCAAAAAACGUGAGCAAAUGACAUCUGGAGCUGAUCUUCAAUAUUUUAGAGAAAGAAUUGAAAAGAAUUUUUGUGGGGGAAUAAAAUUUUACCCAGAAAGUAAAA